rnacentral:tRNA from 1 species
GACCAGUAUGGUGUAAAUAACACAAUAAGUUGUAAACUUAGAGAAGCUUUUGCUUUGGUUU